rnacentral:rRNA from 1 species
UACGAAGGGGGCUAGCGUUGCUCGGAAUCACUGGGCGUAAAGCGCACGUAGGCGGAUUGCUAAGUCAGGGGUGAAAUCCCGGGGCUCAACCCCGGAACUGCCUUUGAUACUGGGUGUCUGGAGGUCGAGAGAGGCGAGUGGAAUUCCGAGUGUAGAGGUGAAAUUCGUAGAUAUUCGGAGGAACACCAGUGGCGAAGGCGGCUCGCUGGCUCGAUACUGACGCUGAGGUGCGAAAGCGUGGGGAGCAAACAGG